rnacentral:rRNA from 1 species
AUUGAACGCUGGCGGCAGGCCUAACACAUGCAAGUCGAACGAGUGGCGGACGGGUGAGUAAUGUCUGGGUAACUGCCCGAUGGAGGGGGAUAACUACUGGAAACGGUAGCUAAUACCGCAUACCAUCGGAUGUGCCCAUAUGGGAUUAGCUUGUAGGUGGGGUAAAGGCUCACCUAGGCGACGAUCCCUAGCUGGUCUGAGAGGAGGAACAGCCACACUGGAACGGAGACACGGUCCAGACUCCGACGGGAGGCAGCAGUGGGGAAUAGUGCACAAUGGGCGCAAGCCUGAUACAGCCAUGCCGCGUGUAUGAAGAAGGCCUUCGGGUUGUAAAGUACUUUCAGCGGGGAGGCGUUACCCGCAGAAGAAGCACCGGCUAACUCCGUGCCAGCAGCCGCGGUAAUUC